rnacentral:tRNA from 1 species
GCCUGGGUGGCUCAGUCGGUUGGGCGUACGACUUCGGCUCAGGUCAUGAUCUCGCGGUCCGUGGGUUCGAGCCCCGCCUCGGGCU